rnacentral:rRNA from 1 species
GACGAACGCUGGCGGCGUGCCUAAUACAUGCAAGUCGAACGCAUUUUCUUUCACCGUAGCUUGCUACACCGAAAGAAAAUGAGUGGCGAACGGGUGAGUAACACGUGGGUAACCUGCCCAUCAGCGGGGGAUAACACUUGGAAACAGGUGCUAAUACCGCAUAAUUCCAUUUACCGCAUGGUAGAUGGGUGAAAGGCGCUUUUGCGUCACUGAUGGAUGGACCCGCGGUGCAUUAGCUAGUUGGUGGGGUAACGGCCUACCAAGGCUGCGAUGCAUAGCCGACCUGAGAGGGUGAUCGGCCACCCUGGGACUGAGACACGGCCCAGACUCCUACGGGAGGCAGCAGUAGGGAAUCUUCGGCAAUGGACGCAAGUCUGACCGAGCAACGCCGCGUGAGUGAAGAAGGUUUUCGGAUUGUAAAACUCUGUUGUUAGAGAAGAACAAGGAUGAGAGUGGAAAGUUCAUCCCUUGACGGUAUCUAACCAGAAAGCCACGGCUAACUACGUG